GACGAACGCUGGCGGCGUGCCUAAUACAUGCAAGUAGAACGCUGAAGGAGGAGCUUGCUUCUCUGGAUGAGUUGCGAACGGGUGAGUAACGCGUAGGUAACCUGCCUGGUAGCGGGGGAAAAUAAUGGAAAAGGUUGGUAAUUACGCAAAAGGAGAGAUGUUGGAAGACAAUUUGUUAAAAGGUUCAAUUGCAUCACUACCAGAAUGACCUGCGUUGUAUUAGCUAGUUGGUGGGGUAACGGGUCACCAAGGCGACGAUACAUAGCCGACCUGGGAGGGUGAUCGGCCACACUGGGACUGAGACACGGCCCAGACUCCUACGGGAGGCAGCAGUAGGGAAUCUUCGGCAAUGGACGGAAGUCUGACCGAGCAACGCCGCGUGAGUGAAGAAGGUUUUCGGAUCGUAAAGCUCUGUUGUAAGAGAAGAACGAGUGUGAGAGUGGAAAGUUCACACUGUGACGGUAUCUUACCAGAAAGAGACGGCUAACUACGUG
rnacentral:rRNA from 1 species